GCGAACUCAAUCGAUUUUGGAUCUCAUUCUCCGUAUCAUGGACAUAAAGCUGGGAGAAUUUAGGUUGUUUUCCUUGGCCAGGGGUGGUGAGACGCGAGAAAGGAAUGAAGGUUGAAGAAAGAGAACACAGGUGUCAGCGGUUCAGUUUAGAUGUGAGAACAGAGAAGCAAAGUAUUCUGAUUGGAUGUGAGAAUGUAAGAGGCGGCAACCAUGGCUGA
rnacentral:lncRNA from 1 species